rnacentral:rRNA from 1 species
GACGGGUGAGUAACGCGUGAGAAUCUGCCCUCAGGAGGGGGAUAACAGUGGUAAGGACUGCUAAUACCCCAUAUGCCGAGAGGUGAAACGAAUUUUGCCUGGGGAUGAGCUCGCGUCUGAUUAGCUUGUUGGUGGGGUAAAAGCCUACCAAGGCUUCGAUCAGUAGCUGGUCUGAGAGGACGAUCAGCCACACUGGGACUGAGAUACGGCCCAGACUCCUACGGGAGGCAGCAGUGGGGAAUUUUCCGCAAUGGGCGCAAGCCUGACGGAGCAACGCCGCGUGAGGGAUGAAGGCCUUUGGGGCUGUAAAGCCUCUUUUCUCAAGGAAGAAGAUCUGACGGUACUUGAGGAAUAAGCCACGGCUAAUUCCGUGCCAGCAGCCGCGGUAAUACGGGAGUGGCAAGCGUUAUCCGGAAUUAUUGGGCGUAAAGCGUCCGCAGGCGGCCGUUUAAGUCUGUUGUUAAAUCGUGGAGCUCAACUCCAUCACGGCAAUGGAAACUGUUCGGCUUGAGUAUGGUAGGGGCAGAGGGAAUUUCCGGUGUAGCGGUGAAAUGCGUAGAUAUCGGGAAGAACACCAGUGGCAAAAGCGCUCUGCUGGGCCAUUACUGACGCUCAUGGACGAAAGCCAGGGGAGCGAAGGGAAUUA